UUCUUUCUUAAAUUCUUUCUCUCUUCUUUCUUAAAUUCUUUCUUUCCCUUACCUCCUCACUUAAGUCUCUCUUUGAGUCACUCAUCUUGAUUGUUAAUUACCACGAAUAAGCCGUCGACCUUCCACUGUUGCUUUUAGUGGCUUCCAUCAUUUCUUUUAGUUGGAUUUCAAGUUUUGGAGUCCGAGUUGGUCCAGCGGAAAUUGGGGUGAUCUACAACCCGAACACAUCUCACUAGUAGUAUUGUACGACAGAGUCCAAGACUGCCUACUUGAGUUCAUAUCCGCCACCCACCUGCCUAGUCGUACUACAUAAUAUUUUGUAUGUAUAUUGUUUGGGUCAUGCAUUGUAAAGUUAGUAUUUUGGGAUGGAAAUUUUGUGUUAAAUAGACUUAAUAUAGUGGUUGGCAUGAGACUAAUUGAAUAACGUUGUGCUUGGUAGGUAGCUUUGAGUAAACAAUUUUGAGGGUAUGUAAAUAUUGAAAUAUUCGGACUAGGCUGAGGUAGCGUACAUGUUUUGAAACUGGAUUAG